rnacentral:rRNA from 1 species
AUCCCGAACUCGGCCGUCAAAUGCCCCAGCGCCCAUGAUACUCUGCCUCAAGGCACGGAAAAGUCGGUCGCCGCCAGAU